AAAUAAAAUUAUAAACAGAAAAUAGAAAUUAAACAGUGCAGAAAAAUAAACUUGAUACUAAGAUUUACUUUUUAGAUCAUAACUUCUACUUGCAAUAAAAAUAAAGAACCAAAAUUUAAAGAGCAUAAAAAUAAAUUGAUACUAAGAUCUACUAACUAGAUCUUAGUAUCUACUUGCAAUAAAAAUAAAGAGAAAAAAAUUUAAAAGUGCAUAAAAAUAAAUUUUAUAUUAAUUAAAAUUGAAGUUCAAUUAUAAAAAAAUUAAUAAAAAUAAUAAAAUAAACUAAAAUAAAAUUGUAAUAAAGAUUUAAAGUUAAUUGGUGCAACGU
rnacentral:lncRNA from 1 species